UACGUAGGGUGCGAGCGUUAACCGGAAUUACUGGGCGUAAAGCGUGCGCAGGCGGCGCGUUAAGACAGGUGUGAAAGCCCCGAGCUUAACUUGGGAAUUGCGCUUGUGACUGGCGUGCUGGAGUGUGGCAGAGGGAGGUGGAAUUCCACGUGUAGCAGUGAAAUGCGUAGAGAUGUGGAGGAACACCAAUUGCGAAGGCAGCUCGCUGGGACGUUACUGACGCUGAGACGCGAAAGCGUGGGGAGCAAACAGG
rnacentral:rRNA from 1 species